AUGUAUUUGGUGUAGUACGUUGAGAGAAUUGUUUGAAUAAUUGUGCUGUGCAUAUAUUGUGUUUUGUUUGUGUGGAAUUGGGAUGAAGUGGGUCACCAUGGGACUGUGAGACCGUACAGUUAUAUGGAUCCAAUAUGAUUACCGUUAGCCGGGUAAAUGGGAGAUCGGCGCCCCCGUGUGCACCUACCGUUACCGUUACCGUUAACCACGGGUUGGCUUCUCGUCGCUGCGCACCGGACAGUCUAGAUUUGAUCACAGCCCGCAGGGUGGCCUCCUGUUGUGAGCGCCUGAUGAUCUAGAUUGGAUGAAGACCACCGGGUUGCCUCCUGUUGGUAUGAAAAAGAAAA